rnacentral:lncRNA from 10 species
UUCAGGGUUUAUGUUACUCACAGCUGAGCCCAAUCCUACUUGAGACUCAAGCGGUGACUCACAUUUCCUUGGCUGGCGUGAAGUGCUUCCCAGCUAUUUCUGCUUUUCAUUCUUCACAAUAGCUCUUUGAGGUAAAAGGAAUGUUCCUAAUGAGGAAAAGGAAGCUUCAGCACUCCGAGGAGAGCUUGUAACUAAUGAUGCCACAACCCACGUGACCUGCUACUGGAUGGCAAGCAAGCCACAAGCCGGCCUAGGCCUGAGGUGAUGUAGGCCCAUUAGGGAACUCCUGCUAGGCAAAUGGGAACCACGAAGGAAAGACCUCCAUGGGCUUCCCUGAAGGCUGGUGUUUCAGUGAGUCCACCUGUGAACAAAAACUCCUUUUCUCCUCGCAGGAUCACAGUUGUAAAAGUCAGCAAAAUGUCAAGGGAACUCUCUUGAAGAUUGCACAUGUUUGUCUAAGUGCUUCUACAUUUCCUCUGCCUGGAACAUAAAUGGAAUAGAAAUAACAUUUGUUCAGGAACUGGAGUUGACCGGGAGUGGCUACACUUCACCCUCGUCUGUACCCCAGACCACAGUGGGGGCAGACACCAAAGUGCUGGGUACCCCUGCCUGUACCCGAGACCACAGUGGGGACAGACACCAAAGACCAGGGGCUGCUUGAGACCAGGGAGAGGAGAAUUAGAAGACUCCUCAAAUCAGCCCAGUCCCGUGAAAAGAGAGAGGAGAGGAGGGGAGGGGAGGGGAAGAGAGCGGAAGGGAGGGGAAGGGAGGGGAGUUACUACUGCUUAAACACAAGAAUACCACCUCCCCUGGUGAUAUGGAUAGUUUGGCUGUGUCCCCACCGAAAUCUCAUCUUGAAUUGUAGUUCCCGUAAUCCCCACUUAUUGUGGGAGGGACCCAGUGGGAGGUAAUUGAAUUGUGGGGGUGGUUCCCCCAUGCUGCUGUUCUUGUGAUAGUGAGUUCUCAUGAGAUCUGAUGGUUUUAUAAGGGGCUUUUCUCCCUUUUGCUCCGCACUUGUCCUUGCUGCCAUCACGUAAGAAAGACGGGUUUGCUUCCCCUUCUGCCAUAAUUGUAAGUUUCCUGAGGCCUCCCCAGCCUUGCGGGACUGUGAGUCAAUUAAACCUCUUUCCUUUAUAAAUUACCCAGUCUCAGGUAUGUCUUGUUAGCAAUGUGAGAAUGAACUAAUACUCCUGCUAUGACACCUGUCCCCCUCAUCCUUUCUGGAUGACACUGAGGACAAGGUCAUGCCAUCCCCACACCCAUCACCCAGGAGAGCCAG